rnacentral:rRNA from 1 species
UACGUAGGUGGCAAGCGUUGUCCGGAUUUAUUGGGUUUAACGGGUGCGUAGGCGGCAUUUUAAGUCAGUGGUGAAAUACUUCAGCUUAACUGGAGAGGUGCCAUUGAUACUGGGAUGCUUGAGUACUGAUGAGGUAGGCGGAAUGGACGGUGUAGCGGUGAAAUGCUUAGAUAUCGUCCAGAACACCGAUAGCGAAGGCAGCUUACUAAGGAGUAACUGACGCUGAGGCACGAAAGUGUGGGGAUCAAACAGG